rnacentral:rRNA from 2 species
AGAGUUUGAUCMUGGCUCAGGAUGAACGCUAGCUACAGGCUUAACACAUGCAAGUCGAGGGGCAGCAUGGUCUUAGCUUGCUAAGGCCGAUGGCGACCGGCGCACGGGUGAGUAACACGUAUCCAACCUGCCGUCUACUCUUGGACAGCCUUCUGAAAGGAAGAUUAAUACAAGAUGGCAUCAUGAGUCCGCAUGUUCACAUGAUUAAAGGUAUUCCGGUAGACGAUGGGGAUGCGUUCCAUUAGAUAGUAGGCGGGGUAACGGCCCACCUAGUCUUCGAUGGAUAGGGGUUCUGAGAGGAAGGUCCCCCACAUUGGAACUGAGACACGGUCCAAACUCCUACGGGAGGCAGCAGUGAGGAAUAUUGGUCAAUGGGCGAGAGCCUGAACCAGCCAAGUAGCGUGAAGGAUGACUGCCCUAUGGGUUGUAAACUUCUUUUAUAAAGGAAUAAAGUCGGGUAUGCAUACCCGUUUGCAUGUACUUUAUGAAUAAGGAUCGGCUAACUCCGUGCCAGCAGCCGCGGUAAUACGGAGGAUCCGAGCGUUAUCCGGAUUUAUUGGGUUUAAAGGGAGCGUAGAUGGAUGUUUAAGUCAGUUGUGAAAGUUUGCGGCUCAACCGUAAAAUUGCAGUUGAUACUGGAUAUCUUGAGUGCAGUUGAGGCAGGCGGAAUUCGUGGUGUAGCGGUGAAAUGCUUAGAUAUCACGAAGAACUCCGAUUGCGAAGGCAGCCUGCUAAGCUGCAACUGACAUUGAGGCUCGAAAGUGUGGGUAUCAAACAGGAUUAGAUACCCUGGUAGUCCACACGGUAAACGAUGAAUACUCGCUGUUUGCGAUAUACRGCAAGCGGCCAAGCGAAAGCGUUAAGUAUUCCACCUGGGGAGUACGCCGGCAACGGUGAAACUCAAAGGAAUUGACGGGGGCCCGCACAAGCGGAGGAACAUGUGGUUUAAUUCGAUGAUACGCGAGGAACCUUACCCGGGCUUAAAUUGCAGAUGAAUUACGGUGAAAGCCGUAAGCCGCAAGGCAUCUGUGAAGGUGCUGCAUGGUUGUCGUCAGCUCGUGCCGUGAGGUGUCGGCUUAAGUGCCAUAACGAGCGCAACCCUUGUUGUCAGUUACUAACAGGUUCCGCUGAGGACUCUGACAAGACUGCCAUCGUAAGAUGUGAGGAAGGUGGGGAUGACGUCAAAUCAGCACGGCCCUUACGUCCGGGGCUACACACGUGUUACAAUGGGGGGUACAGAGGGCCGCUACCACGCGAGUGGAUGCCAAUCCCAAAAACCUCUCUCAGUUCGGACUGGAGUCUGCAACCCGACUCCACGAAGCUGGAUUCGCUAGUAAUCGCGCAUCAGCCACGGCGCGGUGAAUACGUUCCCGGGCCUUGUACACACCGCCCGUCAAGCCAUGGGAGCCGGGGGUACCUGAAGUGCGUAACCGCGAGGAGCGCCCUAGGGUAAAACUA